AGUAAAUCAUCUAUGCGUGUGUGUGUGUGUGUGUGUGUGUGUGUGUGUGUGUGUGUGUAUACACACACCUUCAAGCAUACCUUUAGGCUAUGCAAAAGUCCGUGAUAUCAGUUGCAUGCAAAUUGAAUAGGAUUAUGGUUAUAUUGCAUCCAGAACCUGGCUCCAUGCCAAAAUGUGUUCUAAUUUGUUCAAUGUUUUCCACAGGCACAAAAACAACACCACUGCCUCAGGAUUUAUCAAGAACAUACAGGACCUCUGAUCCUAUAUCACUAUGAAAAGGGCACCAUUUUCUGAAAAUAUUCAGUUAACUUUUAAAUUAAAUUCCCAAUAACCAUGUUAUUUAAUGUUAAUUUGCGUAUCAGAUAAUUAAGUGCGUGCUUUUGAAAAAUAUGUAAUGUAAUAUACGUUAAUUAUAUUCAUUAUAUUCAAUUAUAUCCAUCCAUCCAUCCAUCCAAACACCUAAUCAUUGUCAGGGCUGUGGGGGGUCUACAGCCAACCCCUGGCUGCAUAGGGCAUAUGACAGGGCUGCACCCCGAAUGGGAUGCCAGUUCAUAACUUCUCUUUUAAUUAUAAAUGAAUGUCUAAUUAAAGACCUGUCUUUUCCUGGACUUUUUGUAAGUUUAUAAUUCUAAACAUGACAGAUACAGCUUCCUGAAGCAUUAAGUAAUAUUUACUGCAAUGACUAAUUUGUUGGUUUUUGGAUUACCAUAUUAUCUUUAGUAUAUUAAAGGAAAUGCAGUGUAUUCACAUUUCUAAAAUAUGAAUACCGUAGAAAGGUGAUGAAAAGCUGUUGUUUUUGGAAUGUUGUGAAUGCUUGUAAAUGAGGUCAGCCCUCAUUUUAAAUGAAUACCAAAGAAUAGCAAGAAUCUAUUAAGAAAUUGCUUUUUUAAAAUUUCAAACGUAUUUACUAAAAGAAGACUUAACUUUGAAGAAGUGGACUUAUAACAGCCAUGGUGUUUCAUAGCCAUUUCUAAUGACUGAUUUUGUUAAAAAAUCGGAUCCAAACUGAGGUUUUACAGAAAAGCAUCCAGCAUUAUCAGUGUCAUGUAGAUAUAUUAAAUAUCCCCAUUCAAGGCCCCUUUCAAGAAAUGAAGGACUAGAAAUAGGUAAUAAAGACUUGCAGAAAUAUACUUCAUUAAUUGUACUCAUUUUUGUGCAAAUUAAUAUAUAAAGUUUUAUGUGAGAAGAAGAAACCCAGAACAAGCAGAUUUGGUCACUGCUGGUUCUGCCCUGAGCCAUUCCUCCCUGAGCCUUUCUGCCCUGAGCCUUUCUGCCCUGAGCCUUUCUGCCCUGAGUCUGUCUGCCCUGAGCCAUUCCUCCCUGAGCCUGUCUGCCCUGAGCCUUUCUGCCCUGAGUCUGUCUGCCCUGAGCCUGUCUGCCCUGAGCCUGUCUGCCCUGAGCCUGUCUGCCCUGAGCUUUUCAGCCCUGAGCCUGUCUGCCCUGACUCAUUGUUUUUCAGGAUAGCAUGUCCACUUUUCAUUUUGCUUUGGUACUGUGUGGACAUUUCACAAAUUUCAAUUUAUCUUACAGUAAGGGAAAAUUUGAACAGUUGACUCUUUAGUUCAAGGCCUGUCAUUUAAUCCAAAUUCCUUAAAUAACGGGAAUUUAGGAAUAAUCACAAUCAUUUCUAAUAUAUUUCUGGAUGUCUAUUAUUUGGCAUCAAGCUUGACAAGUCAGUUAUUUAGUUGUUUUUGCUUAAACAAGUUGGAGCAACAUGAAUCACACCUUUCACAGAAGCUGAAUCAGGCUACGUCAGUCCUCUGCAUGUCUAAUGAGAAUACAUUCAGGAAAGAUUAGACAGUAUUUUAUUAUUAUGACGGAUUAGAUUAAUAGAAAAGGAAGAAAAUCUCAAACAAAAAUCUUAAAGAGAUAAAGAGUUGUAUCCAAAACUUUGGAUGAAUAAACAAAACAUGAAAAUAUUAAAAGUAUAAAUCAGUUGUCAAUGAACUACUAUGCACAUAGUGAAAAUAAAAAAACAAAUGAAUUAGUUCUGGUAACUUUUAUUGUUAUGUUUUUAUUAUAUGCUUUUCUUUAGUUUAACGUGUAUAUGCAUACCCAUUUAAUGUUAUUAGCAUAUCUUACAACCAAUAGCAAACAGAUGGAGCAAACAUUACAAAGUCACAGAUUUACUAGGGAUUUUUCGGGGGAAAAAAAAAAUUGGGUUAGGGUUACCCUGUCUUCCUGUUAAACACAGGUUUAUGGGUGUCUGUGCUCAUUUACAAACAGGUUUAUUAUGUCACCAUGCUCACAUACAAAAUGCCUUGCCACAUAUCCAUGUUCACUUCGAAAUACAUUUGCCUUAUAAUAAUACACGUUCUUUUAAAAACAACUCUACUUCGCCGUUUCACCUACAAUCCAGUUUUCAUGUUGAACCACGCUUCUGCAUCUUUUCUGUUUGCACCAGUCUCAUAGCAAAGGGAAUUAUGAAAGUGCUUUGCGUUAUGAUUUAGGUAUGCUAUAAUCAAUUACAUUUUAUAUUAUAUAUGACAGCUGUACAAUGUUUAAGAUCUUUAGUAUUUUAAUAGGUAUACUAUUGCUGUAUGCCAGAGACAGCUGUUUCAACACAAUAUUUAUCUAAGUAAAUGUCACUAAAGAGGCACAUAGAAUAACAUGGUGUACAGAAACGACAUAAAACUCCUUUACAGGUGUGUGUCUGCAUGUGUAUGUGUUGUGUAUGUCGUGUGUGUGUGUGUGUCUGUGCGUUUGUGUGUGUGUAUAUCUCCGUGUUUGUCUGCAUGUGUGUGUAUGUAUGUCUGUGUGUGUGUGUGUGUAUUCUUUGUGUUACUGUCAUCCGCUCAGUGCCUGUCUUCCCUGAGGGCGGAUCUGAGCAGGCAGCAGAUUCAAGAUAACUCACAGAGUCUGAUGUAUCCAUGAUGAAUUACUGUGUCAGUUUAAAAGGCAAAAGAUUAAUUUGUUUCAAUAAUUCCUCUCUAGGCUGAAAGACUUUCUUCACUUGGUGAGGAAUUGUUUUCUUUAAUUUCUCGAUGUUUCUUUUUAAAAAUAUGCAAGUGAAAGAAUGUUAGUAAGUAGUUAUAUUGGUGUAUUUCAAUCAGGUUUAUACACAAACACACACACACAGUCAACUUUGUAUUUUUUCCUAUUAUCCUUCACAUAGAGCAAUUAGCAACACUAGAGCUAACUUGAAUUCUCCUGAAAAGGUAUUUAAAGACUCAGAAACAGAUUCAUAAAUAAAUAACUGAUCCUCUGAUCGUGAUUAUGAUGAUGAUAAAUGUGAUUCCCGAGAAGCACUUUGGAUUACUGAGCAAAGUCGUCGCUUGAUUAUUUGGUGUGUUUUUGUAUUUCACUUGAAGGAGACUCAGGAGCUUCAUUCACACUUUUGUGACACUUGAAACUACAUUUAUAUUUUUAUUUGGGAGAAAAAAAGAAAUCAUAUACAAGUCAUGCAAUGUUCAAUAAAGAAUAUCAAUUUAGUUUUUUGCAUUUUGCAUUUUUUCCUUUAUUGAUAUGACCUGUGUUUUAUGUAAGUGCAGUAAGGAUAUGUAUAGAAAUGUCAGCUUUUAUGUGGCUGUGUGAACAGUUUCAGCAUUUUAAUUUUCUUUCAGUCUGUCAUAUACACAUUCACACAUGUAAUUUAAUUAUCAUUCACUUUUUGGUUUUUACUUUCAUUAUAUAAAUGUGAAUGUAUAGGCACAAUAUAAUUAAAAUGAUGUUGAUCCAGA